rnacentral:rRNA from 1 species
CGCGUAGGUGGCCAAUUAAGUCAAAUGUGAAAUCCCCGAGCUUAACUUGGGAAUUGCAUUCGAUACUGGUUGGCUAGAGUAUGGGAGAGGACGGUAGAAUUCCAGGUGUAGCGGUGAAAUGCGUAGAGAUCUGGAGGAAUACCGAUGGCGAAGGCAGCCAUCUGGCCUAAUACUGACACUGAGGUGCGAAAGCAUGGGGAGCAAACA